UCCUUCUUUCCUGUCCUUCACCUAAUGCGUUAGCCACUUCCAACGGGAUCUGAAGGAAUAGCCGACGGUCCCUACUCAUCGCUGUCGAGAAGCUUAGUUUUGUCAUGGCAUCAGCACACUGAUUACCAGAUUUGCGAACUAGAGAUACUCUAAAGUGUCUACAAAGAGCUACAGUUUCUCUUACCAUUCUCACACAGUCAAGAGGCUUCUCCCCUACCACUUCCUUCCUUUUUAGAGCAACGAUCAGCUCCUCAGAAUUAGUUUCAGGGUGGAUUUUUUGAAGACCCAGAUCUCUUGCCACCUUUAAUCCCUUUGCCACCCCCCAACAUUCAGCUUUAAAGGCUGUACACCAACCCACAUCUCUGCAAUAGCCUGCUACCCACCUUCCUUUAUGAUCCCGAAUAACUCCCCCACAUGCAGCGCGACCUAGGUUUCCUCUACUCAAUCCAUCAAAUUCAUCUUGACCCAACCUUCAGCUGGAGCUACCCAAACCAUUCUCACUUCUUCCUCUCUUGCCUCAACGGGGUUCCUUUGGAAGGAUUUAGUUUUAACUAUUUCCAUUGCAAAGUUCCAGAUGUGCCAACUUUCCAGAUCCUUUCUUUGACGUUUAAAGAUCUGCUGAUUACACUGCUUCCAGAUUCUCCAACAGGCUAUACCAAACACAACAUUCCACGGGAAAUCUGCCAAAAGGAGAGCUCGCGACGCCAUCGUUCAUAGUGAUGAUAUGUUUAAAGAAUCAUCAAAAGGCAUUUAUAGAUGAUUGAACUCAUAAUUAAGAAGUAAAAAGGAGGACGAUUUCGCUUUGGGAGGAGCAACUCAUGGUCAUCAAAAACUCAAAAGCACAAAGGUGGCAAGAUAUUGCAGCUUGUUUGGUUUAAGGAAAAUUGGGCCAUGGAAAUAGGAAAUCAUGAUUUUUUAUUGACAGCCAUCGUUUGGUUUAAAAAUUGGUGGGAAAACAUUAUUUGGUCGUAGGGUGAUUUUCCUAUAAACAAAUGAAUUUGGCUUUCUCUCAAAAUUGGUGAGAACUAGCUUUCAAUCACUUGCUAAAAGAGCCUAAAAACAAAUUUGCCCAUGAAAUAUUAUCUUGGGAACACUUGAAGACCAAUCAAAACAUCAGAGUGUUCUUAGAUUGACGCCUACGAGGCUCUUCCUGAUUUUA